UUCUAAGGGCACUUAUAGUCUUAUAAGAAUUGUCUGAUCUCGGAAGCUAAGCAGGGUUGGGCCUGGUUAGUACUUGGAUGGGAGACCACCUAGGAAGACCAUGUUCUGUAGACA
rnacentral:rRNA from 1 species